rnacentral:rRNA from 1 species
AAUUAUAUUAUACCACCCUGAACACACCCAAUCUCAUCUGAUCUCGAAAGCUAAGCAGGAUAGGACCUGGUUAGUACUUGGAUAGGAGGCUGACUCCGAGUUUGACAGAGGUACUUC